rnacentral:lncRNA from 1 species
GAAAGCUUGGAAAUGUUCGUCAAUUAAAUCAAGUUUUCAUACAUAGUUCUGUGAGUGGAGAAUCUAUGUUUUCAAAAAGAAGAUUUUCUUUUUAUUUUAUAGAAGCAUGUUAAUUACAUGAAAUGCUUUAUUUUUUAGAAUUAGUAAAUGAGCAUGAUUGUUUUGAAAUUAUCAUAAAAUAAUUGAUGUAAUUAUCUUAUUCUAGUGCACUGAGGGGCUACGACCGUGUACUAGAGUCAUGUAUUUUACUCCUAUAUACUGAGGGACUACGGUUGUG